GACGAGGUGGCCGAGUGGUUAAGGUGAUGGACUGCUAAUCCAUUUGGCUCUGCCCGCGUGGGUUCAAAUCCAAUCUUCGUCG
rnacentral:tRNA from 1 species